rnacentral:rRNA from 1 species
UCCUACGGGAGGCAGCAGUGGGGAAUAUUGGACAAUGGGCGCAAGCCUGAUCCAGCCAUGCCGCGUGAGUGAUGAAGGCCUUAGGGUUGUAAAGCUCUUUCAGCUGGGAAGAUAAUGACGGUACCGGAAGAAUAAGCCCCGGCUAACUUCGUGCCAGCAGCCGCGGU